rnacentral:rRNA from 1 species
AGAGUUUGAUCCUGGCUCAGAAUCAACGCUGGCGGCGUGCCUCAGACAUGCAAGUCGAACGAUUAAAGCUCUCUUCGGAGAGUGUAUAAAGUGGCGCACGGGUGAGUAACACGUAAGUAAUCUACCCUCGGGUGGGGAAUAACAUUCGGAAACGAAUGCUAAUACCGCAUAAUGCAGCGGCUCCUAAUGGAGACAGUUGUUAAAGGAUUUAUUCGCCUGAGGAGGAGCUUGCGGCAGAUUAGCUAGUUGGUAAGGUAAUGGCUUACCAAGGCUACGAUCUGUAGCCGGUCUAAGAGGACGGUCGGUCACACUGACACUGAAUAACGGGUCAGACCCCUACGGGAGGCAGCAGUCGGGAAUUUUGGGCAAUGGGCGAAAGCCUGACCCAGCAACGCCGCGUGAAGGAUGAAGUAUUUCGGUAUGUAAACUUCGAAAGAAUAGGAAGAAUUAAUGACGGUACUAUUUAUAAGGUCCGGCUAACUACGUGCCAGCAGCCGCGGUAAUACGUAGGGACCAAGCGUUGUUCGGAUUUACUGGGCGUAAAGGGCGCGUAGGCGGCAUGGCAAGUCACUUGUGAAAUCUCCGGGCUUAACUCGGAACGGCCAAGUGAUACUGCCACGCUAGAGUGCAGAAAGGGCAAUCGGAAUUCUUGGUGUAGCGGUGAAAUGCGUAGAUAUCAAGA